rnacentral:rRNA from 1 species
AUUGAACGCUGGCGGCAGGCCUAACACAUGCAAGUCGAACGGUAACAGGAAGCAGCUUGCUGCUUUGCUGACGAGUGGCGGACGGGUGAGUAAUGUCUGGGAAACUGCCCGAUGGAGGGGGAUAACUACUGGAAACGGUAGCUAAUACCGCAUAACGUCGCAAGACCAAGAGGGGGACCUUAGGGCCUCUUGCCAUCGGAUGUGCCCAGAUGGGAUUAGCUAGUAGGUGGGGUAACGGCUCACCUAGGCGACGAUCCCUAGCUGGUCUGAGAGGAUGACCAGCCACACUGGAACUGAGACACGGUCCAGACUCCUACGGGAGGCGGCAGUGGGGAAUAUUGCACAAUGGGCGCAAGCCUGAUGCAGCCAUGCCGCGUGUAUGAAGAAGGCCUUCGGGUUGUAAAGUACUUUCAGCGGGGAGGAAGGGAGUAAAGUUAAUACCUUUGCUCAUUGACGUUACCCGCAGAAGAAGCACCGGCUAACUCCGUG